rnacentral:rRNA from 1 species
CCUACGGGUGACUGCAGUGAGGAAUAUUGGUCAAUGGGCGGAAGCCUGAACCAGCCAAGUAGCGUGCAGGAUGACGGCCCUACGGGUUGUAAACUGCUUUUAUACGGGAAUAACGCGCCUUACGUGUAGGGCUUUGCAUGUACCGUAUGAAUAAGGACCGGCCAAUUCCGUGCCAGCAGCCGCGGUAAUACGGAAGGUCCGGGCGUUAUCCGGAUUUAUUGGGUUUAAAGGGAGCGUAGGCCGCAUGUCAAGCGUGCUGUGAAAUGUCCGGGCUCAACCCGGGCCUUGCAGCGGAAACUGGCGUGCGUGAGUGCGGGGGAGGCAGGCGGAAGUCGUGGUGUAGCGGUGAAAUGCUUAGAUAUGACGAAGAACCCCGAUUGCGAAGGCAGCUUGCUGCAGCGGAACUGACGCUGAGGCUCGAAAGCGUGGGUAUCGAACAGGAUUAGAUACCCGAGUAGUC